rnacentral:rRNA from 1 species
AUUGAACGCUGGCGGCAGGCUUAACACCUGCAAGUCGAGCGAGCGGCGGACGGGUGAGUAAUGUCUGGGAAACUGCCUGAUGGAGGGGGAUAACUACUGGAACCGGUAGCUAAUACCGCAUACCAUCAGAUGUGCCCAGAUGGGAUUAGCUAGUAGGUGGGGUAAUGGCUCACCGAGGCGACGAUCCCUAGCUGGUCUGAGAGGAUGACCAGCCACACUGGAAGUGAGACACGGUACAGACUCCUACGGGAGGCAGAAGUGGGGAAUAGUGCACAAAGGGCGCAAGCCUGAUGCAGCCAUGCAGCGUGAGUGAAGAAGGCAUUGGGGUUGUAAAGUACUUUAAGCGAGGAGGCGUUACCCGCAGAAGCAGCACCGGCUAACUCCGUGCCAGCAGCCGCGGUAAUAC